AAUUUUUUUUUUUUUUCCGAAACCAAUUUCUAUACGAAAGUACUAUUCAUAACACUACGCAUCGAAAAGUUCGGGGGGACGGGCGCCCCCUCGAGCUAUGCCUAAGCUGCGCCCCUGUUGCACGAUAUGAUCCGAUUAAUCGGGUGGUAGGCAUGACAUGAUCUCCUUUUGCAAGUAGCGUUCUUUCGGUGAUCUUGAGCCAUUGUGAUGCAGUAGUUUGUUGUACUAUGCGUGAUCGCAAACAGUGGCGAAGCUUGAAUUUUUUUUACGGGGGGUCGAAAACGUAUAUACCCAAAAAUUUCUAUAGAACCGGGGGGUCGAAAACAUAUAUACCCAAAAAUUUCUAUACGAAAACUACAUAUAUAACACUACUAGCCGAAAAGUUCGGGGGGUCGGGCGCCCCUCCCGGCCCCUUCAAAGCAUCGCCUCUGAUCGCAAAGGUAAACGAUGAACAAAUUGUACCUCCUGUACUGCGUGUUGUCCGGUAUUGAAUUCAUGAAGGACAAGAUUUGAUGCAGGUAAAGAACCAAAGAUCAUCAACUUCUCUCAAAUCUGUUCAACAACUAUGUAUUCUGUGUGGUUGGAUCAAGCGAUGCGUGAAGAUGGUCAAAUACUAAAGUCAAACGUUCGAGGUCUGUUUUUUAUCCAUAGAAAUCGAAUACAAAAAGGAUCUUCAAACAUGUCUUGACCGAUUUGGAUGAACCAAUUAAGCUUGCUUGCCUGCUGGCCUAUGAAAGCGACAAUUUUUACGAAUAUAAUCACAUGAUUAAUGACUUUGUUAGCAUCUAAUAGAUGAUUUCAUCUAUGCGGUUUUUUAACCUCUUCUCGUAGCUUAGAAGAGUGUUUUUAAUUUAGUGUUACAAAAAAAAAAAAAAAAAAAAAAAAAA